rnacentral:misc_RNA from 1 species
GAUGAAGAACGUAGCGAAAUGCGAUACGUAAUGUGAAUUGCAGAAUUCAGUGAAUCAUCGAAUCUUUGAACGCAUAUUGCGCUCUCUGGUAUUCCGGAGAGCAUGCUUGUUUGAGUAUCAGUAAACACCUCAACUCCCUUUUCUUUUUUGAAAUUGGAGCUGGACUUGAGUGAUCCCAACGCUUUCUUCCAAGAAAGUGGCGGGUUGCUUGAAAUGCAGGUGCAGCUGAACUUUUCUCUGAGCUAUAAGCAUAUCUAUUUAGUCUGCCUAAAAAACAGAUUAUUACCUUUGCUGCAGCUAACAUAAAGGAGACUAGUUCUUGUGCUGACUGAUGCAGGAUUCACAGAGACAGCUUCGGCUGACUUUGUAAACUCGAUCUCAAAUCAAGUAAGACUACCCGCUGAACUUAAGCAUAGCAAUAAGCGGAGGA